rnacentral:lncRNA from 1 species
UUCCCCAAAAUUAUUCAAGAACUCUCUUUAGGGUUUCAAAAUAAAAACCCAAGUAGUUCAAGAUUCAAACAUGGGUUUUCAAAACAAAUUAGAGAUUCGGAAUCCCCAAUCCACAAGCUUCAAGAAUCAUUCGUUAUUUUCUGAAAUAGAGGUACGCGGGGUUUUCCUAAAUUCUCAUGGGCUUAGAAAAAUCAUGUUUUAGAAUGGGGUUUUUGAAACUAUAUAUAUAUAUAUAUAUAUUCAUGUAUUAGAUGUUUUAGCAUUAUUGUUUUGGUCUUUUGACCUUCCCCAAAGUGAUUUGAGAAUAUGUAUGUAUGAAAGCAGGUAUUUAAGAACGAUUUCUUAUUGAGAGCAUAACAUUUGGUGAAUUCCCUCUUAUUAUGAAUUUUCAGAUUUUUCAUAGUAUAUGAAUUGUUUUGCAAUGCAUUCUUGAAAAGCACUAUAUGAAAUGGUUGAACUCUUGUUAUGAUUUGAAGGUGGUUUUAAAUCACUAAAGAGGGAAUUUAGCAUGAAUGUUUAAUGUUCAUAAUGCAUGUAAUGAAAGAGUGCAUGGAUUUGCUAAAGGCACUAGAGCACCAUAUGUUUGAUGAAGUUUUUGCAUGAUUUUAACUUGAGUUUCGGAACACGAAAUCUUCUAUAUCAGUUGCAUGUUUUUGGGUGGUCUAAGCUAUGCUUUAAAUGAAAGAUUUAGCUUAAUGUAUUAUGGCUUAGAAAUCAUGACUUGCAAGUCUUGGUAUGACGAUACCAAUUCAGACCAAUGCCAUAUCAGACUCAGACUAAUAGACAUUUCAGACUUUCAUGAUUUUAGACAUUCAGAAUGUUGCAUGUACAGAAAAGGUUAAAAAUGGGCAUACAGAGAUGUUAGGUGGUUCCCUGAAGAGGGCUUGAGUUCAAGCAACUCGUUGCCUAGAACCUUAGUUUGCCGAUCCGGGUAUAUUAUUAUACGCUGACUUAAGUGUCGUGUGGCGUAUUAGGCUCAGACACUCCAACCCUUGCGGCACACUUGGGUUGGGGGCUUUUCCGUCGAGUCAAUGGCGAAUUCCAUAUAGCCCGUGGAAUAUCAAACUUGUAGGGGAUUGCCACCUAACUCAAAAGUAAUACAAAGAUCAAAAAUUAUUUUGACAAGAAUGUCUUAUGAUUUUCGAAUGAUGCCCAUGUGUUUUCAGAAAAUAUUUUAUUCAUAAUGUGUUGAUGAAAAUUGCUCUUAUCUAUUAUAUAUAUGUUCAAAUACUUUAUUUUGAAUUGCUUCGCAUGACAGUACAUUUGUGCUGACCCCCCCCCCUCUAGGUUCUGAGGCACAGUUUAGGGGUCCAGCUAAUCAGUAGAUACUUUCAGAUUGCAGACCGGAUUUUGCAGUGGGGAGCCUUCUAUCAUUCAGAAGGCCUAGUCAUGUCUGACUUUCAUUAUUGUUUAUUUUUUGGUCUACUGGGGGCCUUGUCCCAGUUUUCAGACAACUUGUUUAGUUCAGAGUAGAGAUUUUGCAGACUGAGUCAGAUAGUAUUAUUCAGAUACAUUUUUAGUUUCAGUAUUAUUAUCUUAUUCAGAUUGACCAUGUUUCCAUUUCAAA